rnacentral:rRNA from 1 species
GACGAACGCUGGCGGCGUGCUUAACACAUGCAAGUCUAACGGAAAGGCCCGGCUUUUGUGGGGUGCUCGAGUGGCGAACGGGUGAGUAACACGUGAGUAACCUGCCCUUUCCUUUGGGAUAGCUUCAGGAAACUGGGGCUACUACGGGAUAUGAGCUCCUGCUGCGUGGUGGGGGUUGGAAAGUUUGGGUGGUUGGGGAUGUACUCGCCGCUUCUCAGCUUGUUGGUGUGGUAGUGGCUUACCAAGGCUUUGACGGGUAGCCGGCCUGAGAGGGUGAGCGGACAGACUGGGAGUGAGUUACGGCCCAGACUCCUACGGGAGGCAGAAGUCGGGAAUAGAGCAUAGUGGGCGGAGGACUGAUGCAGCAACGCCGCGGGCGGGAUGACGGCCGUCGGGGUGUAACCCGCUUUCGCCUGUGACGAAGAGUGAGUGACGGUAAUUGGUGAAGAAGCACCGGCUAACUACGUG